UACGUAGGCAGCAAGCGUUGUUCGGAGUUACUGGGCGUAAAGGGUGUGUAGGCGGUUCUCUAAGUUUGGUGUGAAAUCUCCCGGCUCAACCGGGAGGGUGCGCCGAAAACUGGAGGACUGGAGUGCGGGAGAGGAGAGUGGAAUUCCUGGUGUAGCGGUGAAAUGCGUAGAUAUCAGGAGGAACACCGGCGGUGUAGACGGCUCUCUGGACCGUAACUGACGCUGAGACACGAAAGCGUGGGGAGCAAACAGGAUUAGAUACCCUGGUAGUCCACGCCCUAAACGAUGCACAUUUGGUGUGGGCCAUUCAGUUGGUCCGUGCCGGAGCUAACGCGUUAAAUGUGCCGCCUGGGGAGUACAGUCGCAAGGCUGAA
rnacentral:rRNA from 1 species